CAAGGAAGGAGAAAUCCAUUCCAAUUCUCAAGUGAUCGGCAGAACUCUAGAUGGGACAGCUAUGAUGGCUCUUGGGACUCUGAGGCUGGUGAUGAAACUCUGCAAUUUAAAAUGAUGUGGUGACACUAAUAAAUUGCUAAUAAAUGGAAAACAGAGUCCAUCUCCAGUACCUAGGGUUAGAAACUAAAUACAAAUAAGCAAG
rnacentral:lncRNA from 1 species